rnacentral:rRNA from 1 species
UACGUAGGGUGCAAGCGAUGUCCGGAAUUAUUGGGCGUAAAGAGCUCGUAGGCGGUUUGUCACGUCGGAUGUGAAAACCCGAGGCUUAACCUCGGGCCUGCAUUCGAUACGGGCUGACUAGAGUUCGGUAGGGGAGACUGGAAUUCCUGGUGUAGCGGUGAAAUGCGCAGAUAUCAGGAGGAACACCGGUGGCGAAGGCGGGUCUCUGGGCCGAUACUGACGCUGAGGAGCGAAAGCGUGGGGAGCGAACAGG